rnacentral:rRNA from 1 species
GGAUUAGAUACCCUGGUAGUCCACGCCGUAAACGAUGUGUGCUAGCUGUCGGGUGUUCAGCACUCGGUGGCGGAGCGAAAGUAUUAAGCACACCGCCUGGGGAGUACGGCCGCAAGGUUAAAACUCAAAGGAAUUGACGGGGACCCGCACAAGCGGUGGAGCAUGUUGUUUAAUUCGAAGCAACGCGAAGAACCUUACCCACACUUGACAUCCUCCUUGGGACUUUCAGAGAUGAUUGUCUUCGGUUCGGCCGGGGGAGUGACAGGUGCUGCAUGGCUGUCGUCAGCUCGUGCCG